ensembl:processed_transcript
GUAGGUACUCCAUUGUCUGACGGAUCUGAGAACGCUGUCUGGGCUUCGUGCCAAGGGCUGGUAUUCACACAGCAACGACGGCCUCACAGAAGAGCUGUGGGAAGCAGGAGGGCGAGCCUCUCUUAGGGUGCCACUACUAUGGAGACACAGCUGGGCUGAACAAGAUUUGCUUCAAACGACAACAAGAGAGACAGAAAGUAUCUGAUUCAACCGCUGCCCAAGCAGGCAGGCACCAGAAGAGCUAGCAGCCAAUCCGGCCAUGCUCGAAGCCAGUCCUGCAGCUCAGCCAAUCAGUGACAUCAUUGGACAUCUCUUCAGAUUGCUCAUCAUGAUAUGAAGAUGAAACUUAAUAGCAAUAACCAAUGGAUGCUUUUCUUGGAUUCAGUCCAACACUCUGGAGACCAGAUCUUCAGGAAUGUAACUGGGAUAAUUGUCCAAAUCGAAUCCCAUGCCCUGUCAUGGGAAUCUUGAGGAACCCAUUAAUGUAAAGCUGCUGCCAGAGUUCCAUGAGGAGGCAGAAUGUUCUAGAUGAUCCCUGUCUCUUCUCCAUUGAGGAAGUAGUUUCUUGCCUCUCUGUAAGCUCAGUUAAUCAUACCAGAAUAGGAGUCCUGUCUUAACUGAGCAAUAUACACUAUGGAGAGAUCCUUCAAAACCCGUCGGGACGAAUAACAGAUGAAUUCAUAAAACUGUUCAUCUCUGUUAUCCUGAAUGGUCACUCAGACAACAUUUUACUCAACUAUAAAGGGGAACACUUAAAGUGCAUAUGAGAAGAGAAGAGAAUGACCACAGGAGAAAAUCAUCUCAGGUAAAACGAAAAGGCACAAAUGUAGAGUGUAAUUAAUCUUAGAAUAUUAAAGAGAAAAUGAUUAUGUCUGUGUUUGGUAUAAGAAAUUGUCCUUCCCUUUAUGAAGCUACGUAUUUGGGAUUUUCACUGAUGGUUUUCCUUCAAGAGUUUACAGUAUUACUUGCCUUUGUCAACCUUUUGUUUGGUUUUGUGAUCAAUGCCCAGUGUCCAUCAUUCUGAGGACAUAUCUGUAUGUUGAUUUAUACAAUUCAGGUACAAGAUGGUUGAAUAGGAAGCUAUUUAAUGAAAAGGAAAAUAUGUUCUCAGUGGUUAUAUAUUAUAAAAGGAAGUAAAAAUCUGGUAGAAAAGUAUAAGCUCAUAGUUUAUUUUUAAUCUUUUCCAUAUAUCUAGAAGGACAAUAAUGUCAAAGUAUAUUUUGUAGUAAUAAAAGCUACAGCCAGUGUUUCCUCUUUCUUUUUUUUAAACAUGAAAUGUAUAAAUAUAUAAGGAAAUACUUUUACUACAAUUGGAUGCAUGAUUGUUGAUUAUUUACUACAGUUUUAAUAAGUAGGAGAAUGAUUUGAAAAUAAAUAAUGGUGAAAAUUUGUGUAGGCCAAAUUAUCUGUAUUAAACUGGAGAAAAUACAUUCUAUUUUUAUUUAUUUCAAAACAUGCCAAAUCAUGAAGUAAUUACUAUGCAGUAUUAUUUUUCACAAUGAAGAUAUAAUUAAGAAAAGCUAAAUCAUUUUAGAUAUGAGUGCAAUGAUUAACGAUUGUACAACUUAUAAUUUUGCUUCAGAUGAGCUUAGAAUCCUAAACAUGUACAUGUAACUGGCUUCAUGUGUGCUCACUGGCUUGCUUUCUUACAGUGUAGUAGCUGACAGAAUUAAGAAUCAUUUAUUUCAUUUCAACCUGUUGAACAGAGGAAUUAUAUGUAGCUGUGUAUUUUGUUGAAAGGAUAUAGUUCUUGGGAAAUAGAUUUAAAUGUGUUUUGUUGAAAGGGAAUGUAUGCUCCUUGGUGUGAUAUAAGCGACUACAAAUAUUCCAGAAUAGCAGGAAUAACACCGAUCAUGUCAUUGAUUUUAGGGUUUUUUUGAUACCAUAUCUUUUCCUCACUGCUGUAAAAGUUUAAUUUCAUCCCCACUGUAGGCACAUGUCUGUACAUCUAAAAUUUGUGGGUUUUGUGUUCUUUACCUAGUCAACAAGACCUCAUUUGUUUAUAAAAAGCUAUAAUGUGACUAAAUCUCAAAAAUCAUUAACUGAGUUUUAUGUGAAUAAAUACAAUCACUCUAGUGCAUAUACAGUUUAAUAACUUCCUUUUUAGUUGUAGACUUAUCAUACUAUAUCUGUGCCUCACAACAGUAUAAUUCGUAUGUACAUAUAUUAGGUUCUCAAUUAGGAAAUUUUAACAACAACGUUAAAAUAUUCACAGUUUAAAACAAAAGCAAUCUUUAAAAAAGAAAAAAAUCAAGAAGAAAAGAGAGAAGU